ensembl:lncRNA
AAAUAAAUACAAAUCUUUAAAAAUAAAUAAAGUUUUUUUAGUUAAAAAGUGUACUUGCUUAAAAAUCAUGCACAAAUUCAGAGGGUAAACCACAAAAUCACAUACAACCAGACCGAAAAGAAAAUGAAGUAGUGUUCUUAUAACCACUCUAUUUUAUCAGUUGAUGGCUUUACUUUUCACUCAGCUUUCCAAACUGCCAAAUCGAAUGAAUGGAUUCAUUGUUUUAAACACAAGGUUGCAUAAAUCUCGAUGAUUCCUCUGACAAACUCCUAAAAAGCUACACGGCUGUGCGACUCUGGUUCUGAGAUCCAAAGCAGCCUUACAGAAACUAAUCUGUAUCUGGGGCUCAGUGUUAAAAAUGCCGUAGCCAGAGGUGACUCCGCUUCCGAGUGAAAUGCUUUUACUCCCAUCCACCUGUCAUUUCCAUCACGCAUUAAUAUAGGAAAAGACAGUAUUUUCACCAGUUAUCAUAACGAAAUGAACUUUUAGCUUUCAUUUGGUUGCCACCUGCUGGCUAAAAGGUGAAAUCUUCCCUCUGCAGCAAAACCAGUGUGGUGACUGAGGACAGGUGGAAGCAGACGAGUCCUCGGUUGUCAGCAAAGCGAGUGCGGGUGACAUCAGACCGUCUUCUGAAAGGCUGCUAAUCCUCAUGUGUCCACGGUGCUCGAGAUGCUAGGAAAUACCACCAGCCAGCCCCAGCUGUGUGGCUCAGCUCAGUACCAAUGCCACUAUUUUCAGAGAACAAAGGACUUCAGGUUGCACGACCAAGGAGUGCUAAUGAAGGAGGAAGGAAAAGAAAAAUGCAAGUGGAGAAGGAACAACAUAUGCUGGUAUAUGUAGGUGAUUCCAUGGAGAAUUUUGCAAGUGAGUUAAUAAUUUUCACUGUUCUAAAAUUUUUUUAUAAUCAUUGCCAAUAGCUUAAAGAUACAUACAUCGUGCUCUGGCCCUGAGCUAAAUAAGCUGUAUUUGUUUUAAGCACUAUUGCCACAUUUCAUGAAAAAUAUGUAACUAGAGAUGAUGAUUGGGAUGGUAUUUUAAAAAAUCCCAAAAUAUAUGAGAAAAAGAAAGUAGGGAUGCUUGUCCUCAAAAGGAAAAGAUAAUCAGAGAUAAUAAUAGCAAACAUUUUUAAAUAUGUGUGUGUUAUAGAUCAGACAUUGCGCUAAUUGCUUAUGUGCAUCAUCUCAUUUAUUCCCUACAGCUACCAUACUAGGUAUGUUUUACAAGGAAACAGGAUUGGAAAUACUCACCCCAGAUCACAAGCUGACAAAUGGGGAAGGUAAACCCUCUCUGUAGGUCUGCCUCACAUUAAAACCUAACAACCCAUUCCAUCUGCCAUAAUGACACCACUGCAAGAGACAAUGACCCAGCUGGUUUCAUAGAGGAUGUGGUUCUGGUACCACUGCUGCCACCAUCUGGGAGAUACGACUCCAGGUGAAUCAUCACCUCAAUACAGGGCUGAUCUGUCAUCUGCAAGAGUUGGGAUGAUUGCUAAGGUCUCACAGCUCAAAUUCCGUAACUCCAAAUAUUGGAAAGUGCAUUGAACAGAGAGCAAAUGUUGUGUCGGUCUAAAUGGCAGAAGUGGAAUGAAUGGGAUGACUCAGCGACUGCCUAGGUAUCUGGGUGUUUCUGGCGCUACUCAUGAAUAAAAUGGAAAAACUCCGAAUGAGAAAAUAUGUA